CCUACGGGAGGCAGCAGUGAGGAAUAUUGGUCAAUGGGCGAGAGCCUGAACCAGCCAAGUCGCGUGAGGGAGUACUGCCCUAUGGGUUGUAAACCUCUUUUGUCGGGGAGCAAAAGCCGGACGUGUCCGGCUGUGAGAGUACCCGAAGAAAAAGCAUCGGCUAACCCCGUGCCAGCAGCCGCGGUAAUACGGAGGAUGCGAGCGUUAUCCGGAUUUAUUGGGUUUAAAGGGGGCGCAGGCGGAUUUUUAAGUCAGCGGUAAAAUCGUGGGGCUCAACCCCAUCCAGCCGUUGAAACUGGGGAUCUAGAGUGUGCGAGAGGUAUGCGGAAUGCGUGGUGUAGCGGUGAAAUGCAUAGAUAUCACGCAGAACCACGAUUGCGAAGGCAGCAUACCGGUGCACAACUGACGCUCAGGCACGAAAGCGUGGGUAUCGAACAGGAUUAGAUACCCCAGUAGUC
rnacentral:rRNA from 1 species